CCUACGGGUGGCAGCAGUGGGGAAUAUUGGACAAUGGGCGAAAGCCUGAUCCAGCCAUGCCGCGUGUGUGAAGAAGGCCUUCGGGUUGUAAAGCACUUUCAGUGGGGAAGAAAGCCUUGGGGCUAAUACCCUCGAGGAAGGACAUCACCCACAGAAGAAGCACCGGCUAACUCCGUGCCAGCAGCCGCGGUAAUACGGAGGGUGCGAGCGUUAAUCGGAAUUACUGGGCGUAAAGCGCGCGUAGGCGGUCUGAUAAGCCGGUUGUGAAAGCCCCGGGCUCAACCUGGGAACGGCAUCCGGAACUGUCAGGCUAGAGUGCAGGAGAGGAAGGUAGAAUUCCCGGUGUAGCGGUGAAAUGCGUAGAGAUCGGGAGGAAUACCGGUGGCGAAGGCGGCCUUCUGGACUAACACUGACGCUGAGGUGCGAAAGCGUGGGUAGCAAACAGGAUUAGAUACCCCAGUAGU
rnacentral:rRNA from 1 species